CAGCAUUCGUCCACUUUGGAGGAAUCAAACUCACUUCAAGAGUCUCAAGAACACAUACACCUUUGCUCUAAGAAUAAUUAAUGGUAGUAAAAGCACCAUAAUCAGUGACGCCCUGCUAGUCCUUGAAAAGCAGGGAGAUCAUGAUGAUCCUAUCCAUUCGGAAGAGACCUAUGAUGAGGCCAAGGUGCCAGAGCACAGUGAUGACACCGAGAACUAAUGAGGAGGCUGGGGAGAAUGAUCACUUUGUGGCGGUUUGCUGGGAGCUGUUUUUUAAGGCAAUCCAUAGAGACCAAGGCAUCGUGGAUAAUGCAUCUCCCCCUGGAUUCAC